CUGCUCCUAGUACGAGAGGACCGGAGUGGACGCAUCACUGGUGUUCGGGUUGUCAUGCCAAUGGCACUGCCCGGUAGCUAAAUGCGGAAGAGAUAAGUGCUGAAAGCAUCUAAGCACGAAACUUGCCCCGAGAUGAGUUCUCCCUGACCCUUUAAGGGUCCUGAAGGAACGUUGAAGACGACGACGUUGAUAGGCCGGGUGUGUAAGCGCAGCGAUGCGUUGAGCUAACCGGUACUAAUGAACCGUGAGGCUUAACCUUACAACGCCGAAG
rnacentral:rRNA from 1 species